rnacentral:rRNA from 1 species
UACGAAGGGGGCUAGCGUUGUUCGGAUUUACUGGGCGUAAAGCACACGUAGGCGGAUCGUUAAGUCGGGGUGAAAUCCUGGAGCUCAACUCCAGAACUGCCUUCGAUACUGGCGAUCUUGAGUCCGGAAGAGGUGAGUGGAACUCCUAGUGUAGAGGUGGAAUUCGUAGAUAUUAGGAAGAACACCAAUUGCGAAGGCAGCUUACUACAGGAAUAUUGACACUGAUGCACGAAAGCGUGGGGAUCAAACAGG